UUUCCUGAUGUCACACUGCCAAGAAAAGCUUCUAGUGAGAAAGUAACUGCCCGUACCGCAAACCGACACAGGUAGUUGAGGAGAGAAUCCUAAGGUGUGCGAGAGAACUCUCGUUAAGGAACUCGGCAAAAUGACCCCGUAACUUCGGGAGAAGGGGUGCUGACCGCAAGGUCAGCCGCAGUGAAUAGGCCCAAGCGACUGUUUAUCAAAAACACAGGUCUCUGCAAAAUCGAAAGAUGACGUAUAGGGGCUGACGCCUGCCCGGUGCUGGAAGGUUAAGAGGAGAGGUUAGCGCAAGCGAAGCUUUGAAUUGAAGCCCCAGUAAACGGCGGCCGUAACGAUAACGGUCCUAAGGUAGCGAAAUUCCUUGUCGGGUAAGUUCCGACCCGCACGAAAGGCGUAACGAUUUGGGCACUGUCUCAACGAGAGACUCGGUGAAAUUAUAGUACCAGUGAAGAUGCUGGUUACCCGCGACAGGACGGAAAGACCCCAUGGAGCUUUAUUGCAGUUUGAUAUUGCGUGUUUGUAUCACAUGUACAGGAUAGGUAGGAGCCGAAGAUACCGGGACGCCAGUCCCGGAGGAGGCAACGGUGGGAUACUACCCUUGUGAUAUGACCACUCUAACCCGCUGCUCUUAGCGAGCAGGGAGACAGUGUCAGACGGGCAGUUUGACUGGGGCGGUCGCCUCCAAAAAUGUAACGGAGGCGCCCAAAGGUUCCCUCAGAAUGGUUGGAAAUCAUUCGUAGAGUGUAAAGGCAGAAGGGAGCUUGACUGCGAGACCUACAAGUCGAGCAGGGACGAAAGUCGGGCUUAGUGAUCCGGUGGUUCCGCAUGGAAGGGCCAUCGCUCAACGGAUAAAAGCUACCCUGGGGAUAACAGGCUUAUCUCCCCCAAGAGUUCACAUCGACGGGGAGGUUUGGCACCUCGAUGUCGGCUCAUCGCAUCCUGGGGCUGUAGUCGGUCCCAAGGGUUGGGCUGUUCGCCCAUUAAAGCGGUACGCGAGCUGGGUUCAGAACGUCGUGAGACAGUUCGGUCCCUAUCCGUCGCGGGCGUUGGAAAUUUGAGAGGAGCUGUCCUUAGUACGAGAGGACCGGGAUGGACACACCGCUGGUGUACCAGUUGUUCUGCCAAGAGCAUCGCUGGGUAGCUAUGUGUGGACGGGAUAAACGCUGAAAGCAUCUAAGCGUGAAGCCCCCCUCAAGAUGAGAUUUCCCAUCACUUUAAGUGAGUAAGACCCCUGAGAGAUGAUCAGGUAGAUAGGUUGGGAGUGGAAGUACAGCGAUGUAUGGAGCGGACCAAUACUAAUCGGUCGAGGACUUAACCU
rnacentral:rRNA from 1 species